AACGCACAUUGCGCCCCUUGGUAUUCCGGGGGCACGCCUGUUCGAGCGUCAUUACACCCCUCAAGCCUGGCUUGGCCUUGGGCUCCGCCGUUCGUUCGGCGGGCCUUAAAAUCAGUGGCGGUGCCUCCGCGGCCCUGAGCGUAGUAAAUUUCCUCGCUUUGGACCCGGUGGCUACUGGCCAGUAACCCCUAACUUCUAAGUUUGACCUCGGAUCAGGUAGGGAUACCCGCUGAACUUAA
rnacentral:misc_RNA from 1 species